rnacentral:rRNA from 1 species
GCAAGGUCGGAGCGAACUGAUUAGAAGCUUGCUUCUAUGACGUUAGCGGCGGACGGGUGAGUAACACGUGGGCAACCUGCCUGUAAGACUGGGAUAACUCCGGGAAACCGGAGCUAAUACCGGAUAACAUUUUCUCUUGCAUAAGAGAAAAUUGAAAGAUGGUUUCGGCUAUCACUUACAGAUGGGCCCGCGGUGCAUUAGCUAGUUGGUGAGGUAACGGCUCACCAAGGCAACGAUGCAUAGCCGACCUGAGAGGGUGAUCGGCCACACUGGGACUGAGACACGGCCCAGACUCCUACGGGAGGCAGCAGUAGGGAAUCUUCCGCAAUGGACGAAAGUCUGACGGAGCAACGCCGCGUGAGUGAUGAAGGCUUUCGGGUCGUAAAACUCUGUUGUUAGGGAAGAACAAGUACAAGAGUAACUGCUUGUACCUUGACGGUACCUAACCAGAAAGCCACGGCUAACUACGUGCCAGCAGCCGCGGUAAUACGUAGGUGGCAAGCGUUAUCCGGAAUUAUUGGGCGUAAAGCGCGCGCAGGCGGUUUCUUAAGUCUGAUGUGAAAGCCCACGGCUCAACCGUGGAGGGUCAUUGGAAACUGGGGAACUUGAGUGCAGAAGAGAAAAGCGGAAUUCCACGUGUAGCGGUGAAAUGCGUAGAGAUGUGGAGGAACACCAGUGGC